GACGGACGCUGGCGGCGUGCCUAAUACAUGCAAGUAGAACGCUGAAGAGAGGAGCUUGCUCUUCUUGGAUGAGUUGCGAACGGGUGAGUAACGCGUAGGUAACCUGCCUUGUAGCGGGGGAUAACUAUUGGAAACGAUAGCUAAUACCGCAUAACAAUGGAUGACACAUGUCAUUUAUUUGAAAGGGGCAAUUGCUCCACUACAAGAUGGACCUGCGUUGUAUUAGCUAGUAGGUGAGGUAACGGCUCACCUAGGCGACGAUACAUAGCCGACCUGAGAGGGUGAUCGGCCACACUGGGACUGAGACACGGCCCAGACUCCUACGGGAGGCAGCAGUAGGGAAUCUUCGGCAAUGGGGGCAACCCUGACCGAGCAACGCCGCGUGAGUGAAGAAGGUUUUCGGAUCGUAAAGCUCUGUUGUAAGUCAAGAACGAGUGUGAGAGUGGAAAGUUCACACUGUGACGGUAGCUUACCAGAAAGGGACGGCUAACUACGU
rnacentral:rRNA from 1 species